rnacentral:misc_RNA from 1 species
GGAAGUAAAAGUUGUAACAAGGUUUCCGUAGGUGAACCUGCGGAAGGAUCAUUAUCGUACAAAAUGUGAGGGGCAUGCGAGGGCUGUCGCUGACCCAAAAGUCGUGCGCGCCCGAGUGUGUCCUCUUGCAUAAUAAUCCAUCUCACCCUUUGUGCAUCACCGCGUGGGCACCCUUCGGGAUCAUCUCGGAGGGGGGCUCGCGUUUUCACACAAACCCCCCUUUUAAAAGUGUAGAAUGACCACAUUUAUGCAAUCAAUACAACUUUCAACAACGGAUCUCUUGGCUCUC